rnacentral:lncRNA from 1 species
UUUUAUACUCUUGUUAUAUCUACACUUAUUUGCUAUCAAAUUUCACAAAUUUAGACAGAUUUCAAAACUUCCCAUUUCACAUACGAAAUAUAUCUUUCGUUUUUAUAACAAUCAGCAAUUUUGAUCAGUUUGCUAAGUAGCCUAAAACACACGUAUUGGCUAUAAAAAAAAAAAAAAAAAAAUUGGACCAAAUCAUUUUAAACCGGUUAACAGAUAAGCUUCCAUGAAGUCGUUCGAAGAGUUCUUGUGACUUGAAAUUAAUAAAACUACUU